AUACGAACCGUACAAACGUUAUUCGGAAUUAUUGGGCUUAAAGGGUGCGUAGGCGGCGCAGUCAGUGAGGUGUGAAAUCCCUCGGCUCAACCGAGGAAUUGCGCUUCAUACUGCUGUGCUCGAGGGAGACAGGGGUAAGCGGAACUGAUGGUGGAGCGGUGAAAUGCGUUGAUAUUAUCAGGAACACCAGUGGCGAAAGCGGCUUACUGGGUCUCUUCUGACGCUGAGGCACGAAAGCUAGGGUAGCGAACGGGAUUAGAUACCCCAGUAGUCC
rnacentral:rRNA from 1 species